CCGCCAUUUCGCGAGCUUUGGCUUAUGGGUGCUCUGGCUGCGGACCCUGGAGUGUAGUGUGACUCCAGCCGCUCGCGGUCUCGCAAGUUCCAUUAACCACAUCCGUACUUUGGCCAUCACCACCCAGCACACCGACGGUCCUGUGUGCCUACCCAUAUCAUUGGCAGCCCCAACACUAACAGAAUUGAGGAGGAGUUUCCCAAAGGAAUCUGAAGAAAGAAGACUGCAUCGUACUCAUCACUAGUGUGAAGGCGCCUCUCCCUCUCCAAAGAAUCUUAACGAGGUCAAAAUGGAGUGGACUCAUUUCUCCCUAUUCCUCCUACUAAGUGCAGCUGAAACUCUUACACGUUAUAUGUAAAAUACAAAGGAGACUGAAAGGUUCAGAGAAGAAGGCAGACCAGCUAGGGACCUUGGGACCUGAGGAAUGACACUGUGAGAAACUUCUGUAUUUGUAUGAAGAUGCAGCUACAAUGAUGUUCACCGAAGCAGUGUUUUAAAUAGUAAGAACACUGGAAACAACCUAUAUGUUUCAUCCACAGAGGAAUAGUCAAAUAAAUCAGAGUAUUACUGGAUAGUAUGCAGCCACCAAAAGAAUUAAGUAUAGACCUAUAUGCACUGAAGUGGAAAUAUGUCCAAAACAUAAAUUGUUAAAGGCAAAAAACAUCACAAAAUACUUAGGUCUUGAUUCUACUACGUAAUAGAAGGUAUAUGUUGUUAUAUAUGUAAAUACGUAGAAAAAAAGAUUGAAAGCAAACCCACAAAGCUGUUAACAGAUUUCUUUAUGAAAGGGAGUGGUGCUGGCGUUGAAGUGAAAUCAGAUUUUCAUGUUUAUUAUAUUUUCUUCAAUGUAGUUUGAAUCUUUUUCAGUGAGAUUACAGCCAUAUAUUACUCAGGAAGUCUAUUUGUGCAUAUAAAAAUAUUUAGGUGCCAUAGUGAUUUGUUUUGAAAAUUAAACCCUUCACUGAAUAACCACUGUAUAUAUGUUUAUGUAUAAAUAUAUAUGUUUAAGUAUAAACUUGAUAUUACAUUAUUAGACUUCAAAUUACUGUUCUGUUCUUAUUUAAGGAAUUCCAGUGUUAAAAAUACAUCCAUACCACUG